GAUGAACGCUGGCGGCGUGCCUAAUACAUGCAAGUCGAGCGAACGGACGAGAAGCUUGCUUCUCUGAUGUUAGCGGCGGACGGGUGAGUAACACGUGGAUAACCUACCUAUAAGACUGGGAUAACUUCGGGAAACCGGAGCUAAUACCGGAUAAUAUUUUGAACCGCAUGGUUCAAAAGUGAAAGACGGUCUUGCUGUCACUUAUAGAUGGAUCCGCGCUGCAUUAGCUAGUUGGUAAGGUAACGGCUUACCAAGGCAACGAUGCAUAGCCGACCUGAGAGCGUGAUCGGCCACGCUGGAACUGAGCCACGGGCCAGACUCCUACGGGAAGCAGCAGUAGGGAAUCUUCCGCAAUGGGCGAAAGCCUGAAGGAGCAACGCCGCGUGAGUGAUGAAGGUCUUCGGAUCGUAAAACUCUGUUAUUAGGGAAGAACAUAUGUGUAAGUAACUGUGCACAUCUUGACGGUACCUAAUCAGAAAGCCACGGCUAACUACGUG
rnacentral:rRNA from 1 species